rnacentral:rRNA from 1 species
AAUAUUGCGCAAUGGAGGAAACUCUGACGCAGCUACGCCGCGUGAGCGAUGAAGGUUUUCGGAUCGUAAUGCUCUGUCCUUGGGGAAGAAGGUUUUCGGACUUGACUGUACCUAAGGAGGAAGCCCCUGCUAACUACUUGCCAGCAGCCGCGGUAAUACGUAGGGGGCAAGCGUUGUCCGGAAUUAUUGGGCGUAAAGGGUGCGUAGGCGGCCUUUUAAGUCAGGUGUGAAAGCCCACGGCUUAACCGUGGGAUUGCAUUUGAAACUGGAAGGCUUGAGUAUCGGAGAGGGUAGUGGAAUACCCAGUGUAGCGGUGGAAUGCGUAGAUAUUGGGAGGAACACCAGUGGCGAAGGCGACUACCUGGACGAAAACUGACGCUGAGGCACGAAAGCUAGGGGAGCAAA